UUUCUUCACUAGUGCCAGGCUCUUGUGACAUGAACUGAUUACAUGGAAAGGCCAAAAUUUUCAAACCCUGAAAUAAGAAUAGCUGUGACAUAAUUGACAUGUGAGGAAUAAUUAAGCAUCCUAACAACACAGAAGCCUACAGUAUGGAAACAACACCUGAACUAGUAGAUUAUCAAUAGCAACAACCAUUAUACGUAGGAAUGAGACAAAAUCAGUAGGCUACCAUUUUCCAAAGACAUAUCACAAUGGACAAAUAGAAAACCCACUAACAUUCAAUAUCAUCAAAUAAAUUUCAAUACUCUUUGAAAGACAAAACUCACUUUUGAUUCAAAUCUGUCAUACAAGUCCACAAGUUGUGUGUAGUUCACUGUGAAUUGAGAAAAAAACAAGAAAAUCAUUGUUGGUCAUUGCACACACAUACAAAAAUAUCUAGAAUAUUACCAUGGGUAUACCCACACUUUGAGGCAACAUUUACAAUAAUACAGACAUGAUUCCUUAAUAGAAAAGUGUACUGUGUUAGAUUGAAAACAGCAAGAUAGCUUUUUGUUUUUACCUGUAUUUCUCCAGUGACACUUGAUUCCCAUCUAUGUCUAACACUGUAAAGUCGUAAAUCGAUGUUGCAGAUUUAUAGUCGGCAUUGCCGAUAUCUUCAGCUGAAGUCUUUUAAUAACCAGAAGUUUUAUUGAAUCUAUAACUAUAAGUACAGUUCGGAAAUUCUUAUUACCAUUCUGUCAAGGGCAAGGAGGUCGGACGACGAAGUCCACGCACGACUACCACCGUAAAUAAAAGUGGUUGAACUGACGUUACCUAUUAAAGACUGUAGCUUACAGUAUGUCGGGACUGCACCUGGCCCGUUCCUAUAUAUACGGAACACUGUCUUGAUUUUGAUGCCGCUUCCGCGUUUAUCUUAGACGAAAAAAAAAAAAAAACUCAUUGCAAAUUGUCAAAAUGAAGGCGGCAAUCAUUUAAAAUCUUCAUAUAUACUAGCUGGUUGAUGGAAAAAAAUUCUAUUUACGGUUUUUAAUGUGAUAUCCUGAGAUCCCUUACAUCCAAAUGAAGAUUUUGGUUGUCACGCUCAUUUUAACCUUCUUUCGUUUAGUUACAACAGCACGUUUAUAAUUCGACACUGUUUCAUUUUCUUUCGAAAUAAGGCGACAAUACAAUUUCUUACAAAUUCAUUGUUAAUCAUUAGUGAAAUAGUAGCAUCCUGACUUCUCCAUGCCAAUAAGGCUUUUUAGAGAGUCUGUCAUUUUUAUUCCCUCUGAUCACAAAUAGAACUCGAUUGGAAAUGAAUGGCGCUUCUAGAGCAAAAAAGGCAUACAAGCUAAAAUUUUUCUUACAACUUAGCCACUCACUACUGGUUCAGGUAUUUCAGUAAAUCCUUUUCCAUGUCC